rnacentral:rRNA from 1 species
AUGGCAAACGCCAAGCUUGUAGUCGUGGGCGUGGCCAUCCUUGUAAUCCUGCUGCAGGUGUCGACGUGCGCCAUGGCCCGGCACCACGCCAAGCCGGACCCGUGCGCCAGCGAGGACGACUCCGUGCCGGGCAUGGUCCACAAGCACAAGCACAACAAACCCCACUGCACCACGCUGGGCCACAACGGCGGCGGCGGCAGCACCCCAGGCGUGAUGACGGUGAACGGCUUCCAGAAGGGCCAGGACGGCGGCGGGCCGUCGGAGUGCGACGGUAAGUACCACAGCAACGGUGACAUGAUCGUGGCGCUGUCGACGCGCUGGUACGCGGGCGGACGCCGGUGCGGCAAGAUGAUCAACAUCACCAGCAAGCACAACGGGCGCACCGUGCAGGCCAAGGUGGUGGACGAGUGCGACUCCAACCACGGCUGCAAGACCAACAUCGUGGACACCUCCGAGGCCGUGUGGAAGGCGCUCGGGCUCGACAGCAACAUCGGCGAGGUGCCGGUGACAUGGUCCGACGCCUGA